GACGAACGCUGGCGGCGUGCUUAACACAUGCAAGUCGUACGGUAAGGCCCUUUCGGGGGUCCACGAGUGGCGAACGGGUGCGUAACACGUGAGUAACCUGCCCACAACUUUGGGAUAACGCUAGGAAACUGGUGCUAAUACUGGAUAUGUGCUCCUGCUGCAUGGUGGGGGUUCGAAAGCUCCGGCGGUUUUGGCUGUACUCGCGGCCUAUCAGCUUGUUGGUGGGGUAGUGUACUACCAAGGCGGCGACGGGUAGCCGGCCUGAGAGGGUGACCGGCCACAUUGAGACUGAGAUACGGCCCAGACUCCGACGGGAGGCAGCAGGGGGGAAGAUUGCACAAGGGGCGCAAGCCUGAUGCAGCAACGCCGCGUGCGGGAUGACGGCCUUCGGGUUGUAAACCGCUUUCAGCAGGGACGAAGCUUUUUGUGACGGUACCUGCAGAAGAAGCACCGGCUAACUACGUG
rnacentral:rRNA from 1 species